rnacentral:lncRNA from 1 species
UUAAUUUUAUGAGUGUGCACAUUCAUUUUUGUAAUAAACACUGAUAUCUUGCUCCUAGUUUUCCGCUACAGGAAAGGAGCUGGAUUUGUAGCCUUAGUUCAUUACCCAAGGUUUUUUAGUAGUUUAUGGUGCUUCUGGAAGGUAAGUCCACCCAUCCAUUAGCUGCAGAGCAGCCAAGCAACUGGCACUUACUCCUUAGAGUAAAUGGGCAGACAGCUUCCUAACUCGGUCCUCGGGUCAACCUGAAGAAUGGACAGUCAUCAUCUACUCCCUGCCGACAAGGGAACUGCACAUCCUCUGGAACUAGUGAAUGCAGCCUGGUUGAACAGAUAUGCAGCCCAUGCUCAGAGGCCAUACAGGGCUUCAUCCCUAGCUAAGGAAUUGGCUCUGUAUGCUCGAGCCUGUAUUUCCUUUAAUGAAGUCUAAUGUAGAAAUGUUACUUGUAAAUCUAUCCCUUGUGCAGUGGCUCUUUCUUAGCCCAAUGUGCCCUAUUGUUGCAUUUUCCAAUUGAGCUCUAGGGCUGGAGAAAGAUCAUUUUAGUGGUGAUAAGUAUUAUGGGAUAUUCAACUCAAC